rnacentral:rRNA from 1 species
UACGGAGGGUGCAAGCGUUAUCCGGAUUCACUGGGUUUAAAGGGUGCGUAGGCGGGUUAGUAAGUCCGUGGUGAAAUCUCCAAGCUUAACUUGGAAACUGCCGUGGAUACUAUUAGUCUUGAAUAUUGUGGAGGUAAGCGGAAUAUGUCAUGUAGCGGUGAAAUGCUUAGAUAUGACAUAGAACACCGAUAGCGAAGGCAGCUUGCUACACAAUCAUUGACACUGAGGCACGAAAGCGUGGGGAUCAAACAGG